rnacentral:ncRNA from 1 species
AAUGAGUUUUAUUCUUGCUUUAUUCAUUCAAUUUAUGUUUGUUCUAUAUGUAAGUUUGUGCGUGGAUUUCUUGUAAUUCUAGAUGGGUUGUUAGAAGAAUUUUAUUCUCAUUAGUUAUUAUUGGUUGAUCAAAUAUUUUUGUAUCUAGUAAUAUAUUUUAGUUUCGGUUAAAUUUUGUGCCAGCAGCCGCGGUUAUACCUUGGAGGCGUUUGAAUGUGUUUGGCUUAUUGUAGUUAUAUUAUUUAUUUAGUUGAUAGUAUUUGAGUUGAGUUUAUUAGGUGAAAUUUUUAUUUUUUGUAUUUGUCUUUUAUAAAUUUAGAGGCUGUGAAAUUCCUUUUAUAAACUAGGAUUAGAUACCCUAUUAUUUUGGAAUGUUAAGUUUUAUGUGCUUGAGUAGUAUUAGUUAUGUUCUUGAAACUUAAAGAAUUUGGCGGUAUCUCAUUCCGUUCAGAGGAAUCUGUCUCGUUAUCGAUAGUCCGCGUUGGACCUUGCUUAGAUUGCUUGUGGUUUGUAUACCGCCGUUUAUUGAUUAUCUUUUUAGGGUUAAGUAAUUUUCUGGUUUCUCUAUUUUGAUUUAUUUCAGGUCAAGGUGCAGCUUGUUUCUAAGUGUAUGAUGGAUUACAUUGUUAUUUGUUUUUGGAUUGUUAAUUUUAAUAUUAGCAUGAAAUUGGAUUUGGUUGUAAUAAUUUGUAGAUUGUUUUUAUGAUAUUGGUUUUGGGAUAUGUACACAUCGCCCGUCGCUCUCGUUCACAAGUUAAUUAAUGAGAUAAGUCGUAACAAAGUGGUUGUACCGGAAGGUGCAGCUGGAUUGAA